rnacentral:rRNA from 1 species
UAUCCUAGUGGCGAACGGGUGAGUAACGCGUGAGUAACCUGCCUCAUACAACGGGAUACCCGAGGGAAACUUCGGUUAAUACGGUAUAAGACCACACUACCGCAUGGUAGAGGGGUAAAAGGGGCAACCUGGUAUGAGAUGGACUCGCGUCGCAUUAGCUAGUUGGUGAGGUAACGGCCCACCAAGGCGACGAUGGGUAGCCGGCCUGAGAGGGUGGCCGGCCACACUGGGACUGAGACACGGCCCAGACUCCUACGGGAGGCAGCAG